GAUGAACGCUGGCGGCGUGCCUAAUACAUGCAAGUCGAGCGAACGGACGAGAAGCUUGCUUCUCUGAUGUUAGCGGCGGACGGGUGAGUAACACGUGGAUAACCUACCUAUAAGACUGGGAUAACUUCGGGAAACCGGCGCUAAUACCGGAUAAUAUUUUGAACCGCAUGGUUCAAAAGUGAAAGACGGUCUUGCUGUCACUUAUAGAUGGAUCGGCGCUGGAUUAGCUAGUUGGUAAGGUAACGGCUUACCAAGGCAACGAUGCAUAGCCGACCUGAGAGGGUGAUCGGCCACACUGGAACUGAGACACGGUCCAGACUCCUACGGGAGGCAGCAGUAGGGAAUCUUCCGCAAUGGGCGAAAGCCUGACGGAGCAACGCCGCGUGAGUGAUGAAGGUCUUCGGAUCGUAAAACUCUGUUAUUAGGGAAGAACAUAUGUGUAAGUAACUGUGCACAUCUUGACGGUACCUAAUCAGAAAGCCACGGCUAACUACGUG
rnacentral:rRNA from 1 species